UAUGUGAUCGUCUCUCGCAUAUCAAUAAGCGGAGGAAAAGAAACUAACAAGGAUUCCCCUAGUAACGGCGAGUGAAGCGGGAAGAGCUCAAAUUUGAAAUCUUAAAGGGUUUCCCUUUACGAAUUGUAGUUUAAAGAAGUGUUUUCUGUUGAGGUUUUGGUAAAAGUUCUUUGGAAUAGGACAUCAUAGAGGGUGAGAAUCCCGUAUUUGACCUUUACUUUCAACUUUGUGAUACACUUUCAAAGAGUCGGAUUGUUUGGGAAUGCAGUCCAAAAUGGGUGGUAAAUUUCAUCUAAAGCUAAAUAUUGGCGAGAGACCGAUAGCGAACAAGUACCGUGAGGGAAAGAUGAAAAGAACUUUGAAAAGAGAGUUAAACAGUACGUGAAAUUGUCAAAAGGGAAGCGUUUGACACCAGUGUUGUUUUUCUGAAAAUCAAUUAAAGAACUGUUUAUGCUAAGCUGUUUAGACUUUAUCAGCUAUCUGUUUAGUUUUGAGCUUUUCUUUAAUGCACUUUUCAGUUAACAAGUCAACAUCAAUUUCUUUUGCUGUAAAAAAGCUUGAGGAAGGUGGCUUGAGAUUCGUCUUAAGUGUUUAUAGCCUCUUGCCUAUGCAGUCGGAGAGAUUGAGGUCUGCAGCGUAGAUCCUUCGGAGCUAAAUGCAUUUGUGCUAAGUUAUAGCAUUUUAUAGACAACUUGUUGACUAUGAUUUGUCUUGUAGCUUACUCGCUUAUGUUAUUUUACCUACGCUUAGGAUGUUGAAUCUGUGCGAGACUAC
rnacentral:rRNA from 1 species